rnacentral:rRNA from 1 species
GAUGGAGAGUUUGAUCCUGGCUCAGGGCGAACGCUAGCGGCGUGCCUGCGACAUGCAAGUCGAGCGGGGGGAGGAGCUUCGGCUCCGAACCUAGCGGCGAACGGUCGAGUAACACGUAAGCAACCUGCCCCCAAGACCGGGAUAACAGCUCGAAAGGGCUGCUAAUACCGGAUGUGCCCACGCAGAGGCAUCUCUGUGUGAGUAAAACCCGCAAGGGGCUUCGGGAGGGGCUUGCGGCCCAUCAGCUAGUUGGUAGGGUAACGGCCUACCAAGGCGGCGACGGGUAGCUGGUCUGAGAGGACGGCCAGCCGGACUGGGACUGAGACACGGCCCAGACUCCUACGGGAGGCAGCAAUCGGGAGUCUUGCACAAUGGGGGAAACCCUGAUGCAGCGACGCCGCGUGACCGAUGAA